rnacentral:lncRNA from 1 species
GUCUUCAUAAUAACCAUGAGAAGAAUGGGAGUGCCUUGAAGAAUGCCGAAUAGGAGGAGGAGUUCUUCUCUCACGGUUUUGAUGUAUUUCUUCUCGGUUUAACUCCAAACUUUGGAGCCGUGCUUCCAUCUUCCUUAUCACCUCAAGAUAGUGAGCAUUGGAUUGCUUGGCAUUCUUUAAGUCUUCAUAAAGGGCUGCCUUUUGUGGUGAACACAGUUUGGAGGACUCUCCACUAGAGAAAUGAGCCAUGAGCAGAAAAUACACAAAAAACAGAAAACAAAACAGUGA